rnacentral:misc_RNA from 1 species
UUUGUAGCCAUGAUGAGAAAAGGCAAUCCGGAGUUGGUCACUAACAGACAGCGCAAAUAAGCCUCGAGUUUUGCUUUCUGGUGGCUUUAGUUAAUGAAAUGAAUCAGCUUGUUUGUGAAUUUGUUUGUGUUGUACCGUACUUGAGAUAGAUUUAGAACCUCAGUUUAGGCUAGCUGCCUUGCAUUGCAGAGCAAUCACUGCCUUUCGAAAUCCUUGGUUUGCCGUGCA